rnacentral:misc_RNA from 1 species
AACUUGACGAGAGGUCAGGUGCGUGAAUAUUUCGGACUCCAAUUUUAAGCCCUAGUUAUCGAUGUCACAAAUGCGUUAUCUCACUUUCCAUGCAGAAAAACACAUCGUGCAAUGCAUACUAUUUCAGAAAUAAGGUUUAAAAAAUUGUAAUGCGAAUCGUGUAAUGUCGCAUAGCUCUGUGUGAUAUGGUUGCCCCAUGAAAACUUCCGGUUUCGCUGCAAAUGAAAUACUUUCAAUGUUAGCCUAUUCAUCUCGAUUUACCUCGAAAUAAGAUGAAAUUACGUCUGUUUGCAACGUCAUCCGUCUCAACCUACACGAACAGAGUCUGUUUCCAUGACUGUAGAGUGUCCAUGCUGAACAUUAAUUGUGUACUUGAUUCUUGAAUCAAACAAAUAUUUCAUGAUUUGAUUUACCACUGUCUGUAAUGCGGUGAACAAAGAUAACAUUAACGUUCUGUGCGGAACUUCUAUAUUUUCGGCAUUAAUUUUCCAUGCAAUAAGGAUUAGGAAAUCGAUAAUUCCAACUGGAAGAGCAAAACAUUGUCAGAAAAAUGGCUAUCAACGAAGAUCGAUUCUCCACGACAGCAGAACGAUAUCUAGCAAAGCACAAUGUGCUGACGUAUCUGGAGGAUGGAAUCUCCCAGCUCCUGGAACAUCGGGAAGACAACCCCAAAGUCAACGCCGUCAAGUUCAUCAGUGAUUACUUUGCAAGUCUGCGUGAUGGCAACCACACCAUGUUCCGCGAGUACGCCUUUGUUCGCUCCACGCCACACAAUCGGGCUUCGUUUGUUAAACUUUUCUGGAAGUGCUACAAACAAAUUGGCAAAAAGGGAGAUCUGCUGAGUAUCCAGGAGUACCACUCCCUACUGGGGCUACUGUGUUCAGACUUUCCAUUCAGUAUGGUGCAGAAGACUGCCAGGAUCAUCUUGAUUGACGACGCCCUCGACUGUCUCAUCUGCUUCUCCGACUUCAUCUACGCAUUGCAGGUGCAGUUCUGUUAUGAAGAGUUCCUGGAGAAGAGUGGGGAGAUCUACCAGUCCAUCCUCCAGACACAGCGAAGUCCCCGCGACCCGGUAGUGGUGCCCUCCGCCAGCGCCGGCACCAAGAUCCUCCAGCAGAACCACCAGCCUGCCGACGGCAUCGAUGCCAUGCAGUUCUUCCGAUCACUGUACCCUCUCUGUGAGAGGGUCAGCUUCAGCACACCACCUGUCUCGGCGCUGAAGGAGAUUCUCUUCACGGUUCCCCGGGUGUCCUUCUAUGGCUUUCUAAUGGCCAUUGCCAAGAGCGAGUCCAUCAACGAGCACAUAGGUCGACUGCCACCUAAGACAGCGCUACUGGACACCGGGGAGGCGGAGAUCUCAUCAAUCCCUCCAAUCAAGACUCCCACCAGUGUUUCAAACAAAGGUAACAAAUCCCGGUCGUCUGGGGCCGUGAGUCACCGUGAAUCAGGCUCAAGGGCAUCAUACAGCUCCUCCACGUCAUCCAAUCACAGGUCAAGGUCAACCAUUGGCCUGGUCAAACACCAGAAACGCUCAACGGGAGACAUCGCUGUGGCUGACACAAGUUCUGAGACUGAUUCAUCAUCGGACUCAUCCGACACCAACUAGAUGACGAUCCAUCAGUCAGUGUACGAGACAAACUUAGCGCUACAACUAUCAUAAGUCUGUGUUAAGGUAUGGGCGCUACCGUCUGUCAGUGUACAAGACAAAUAUAGCGCUACAACUAUCAUAAGUCUGUGUUAAGGUAUGGGCGUUACCGUCUGUCAGUGUACAAGACAAAUAUAGCGCUACGACUAUCCUAAGUCUGUGUUAAGGUAUGGGAGUUACUGUCACAUUACGGCUAAGGUUGCUUUGUGGUACAUUGGAGUUACAUUCCACUGUGGUGACAGUGUACCCAUUUCUCAAAAAUACAGGACAUGUACUGUCAAGCACAGGUCCUCAGUUCUUGAGACUUCCAGGGUAUCAUUGGCAACGGUUGCUACAAGGGGAUAAGCUGACCGGAGUGAUGCUGUGUUGUUAAGUUCGUUUGUUGGUGAAUGGUUUUGUGUUGAAUGUCAUGUCUUGGGUUUUCUGAAAAACUCAAUUGUGAUAUUGCUUAUCCAUGUAUAAUAUAUCUUCAUUGACAAGAAAGUGGUUUUGUAUUUUCUGUGAUAGUCUAUCUGCAUAAAAGUGAUGAAUAUC